rnacentral:hammerhead_ribozyme from 1 species
GCACUGCUGACGAGUCCAAAACGGGACGAAACAGCUGUGCAGUGC